UCUUUUCCCGAUCCAAAUCCCCAUCGAUUUCGAUCGAUCUACUGUCCCUCGUCAAGCCUUGACCCCGUAUAGAUAUUCCCCACCCUCUUCUUGUUCGAUUUUUUGCCAAAAUCGCCAUCUCCCGUGCCCUAGGUUGAUUUCGUGAUCUCGCCGGAGUUCCACCGCUGCUGACCUCCGCCGUCGUCGUUUACGUCGCCUACAGGGAGCACCAAACCGGGCACAUCGAGCUCGCCCCGACGAACACCCCCACUGCCCGAGCUCCAGUCACCCCCUGCCAUCAUUCCCGCUCGCCACCGACGCCGCUGAGGGCGUCUUCGAGAUUGCCGUGCCACUCCGCGUCCGACGCGCACCUCCCCGAGGCAAUCUGACCUCCGUAUCCGUCGCCCGUAUCUCCACCGAGCCACCGGCAUCGUUCUUCUCCAAGUCCAGCACCCACUUCCUCUGUUCUCCGAUUGUCCGGAGUGUGAAGCGGAUCAGAAUUGAGCGUUAGAGUACUUCAGCACCGUUCAAGGCAAGUUACACCUUUUGAUUUUGCUCAUCCUAUAUUCUUCUAUGCAUGUGUGAUUUUUAUGCUAUGAUAUGUGUUUGGUUUGAUCUGUAUGGUCUUUAUUGUCAUAUUCUGAUAUUGAUUGUAUUAUGUGAUGGUGUGAUCAACUUGCUAUGGUAGAUGUGGGCAUGUGUCGAGUGAUUCAUGAAAGUGGUGAGUGUUUAUAGGCGUAGGCUCGGGAUUAUUAACCAGGUGAAUGCGUCACUGGCAGAGCGCUCUAUUGUCCCUAGAGAAUGCGCCAUUGACAGAGCGCACUUGAGGCGAGGUUUAGUUUUCGGAACAUAAAUCAGGUGAAUGCGUCCUUGGCAGAGCGCUCUGUUGUUCCUAGAGAAUGCGCCACUGACAGAGCGCACUUGAGAGAUACUUCUGAAGUUCUUGUCAUGUUUAUUUAGAAACUUUGGGGUUAUCUUGGGUGAAUAAAUUAGAUACGGUUGUGAGUUCAAUUAGUGGAGGUAGGUGAAGACUUUCUUCUCCAAAUUAACUUGAGUGUUUUGUUUGUCAUACUUUACUUGUGCAUGUAAGUUUGCUUUAUCAUAUUGCGUGAUUUGCCAAUAUAUUCAAUGUAUUGGCCCUUGUGGCUGCAACUUAUCAUGUUGCAGGAUUUUCAGAUGAUAUGAGAUACAGUAGGGUCGCGAGUCUUCACUCAACAUGUUCUCCAGUGGGCAUUGAUGGACUCAUUGUUUAUUAUGCUACCUUUUCGCUGUUAUUAUUGAAUAAGUUAGCUAUGUGCUACUCAGUUUGUAAUACUAUAUAACUUAUGGAUCAUACGUUAUAGUAAAUGAUGCACUUGUUAUUUGAUAUUCAUAUGUAC